ACACACACACAAUAACCUUAGAAGAACUCUCUCACUCACAUACACACACACAAUACAAAACUUAUCUCAGACACACACAAUAGACAUACAAGAACUCUCUCUGACACACAAACACAAAAACAUGUACGCUAUCCAGACAAACCUACAAGCGUGGAUGAGAAAAAAUGCACUCAUGGAAAAUAUAACAUGAAAAGGUAACGUCUAAAUAAAUUAAAAAUCCGACAAAGCCACAGGUUCAUUUCUUAUGUGAAGUGUGUGGGACUUUUCUGUCAGGGGUUCGGAUGCAAAGACACACCUGAGGCUGGAGCCUGUGCAAUAUACAUCCUGCAGAACACGGUGUUAUUAAGUCACAGGAGGAGGAACGUAAACGUCUCUGGUCAGAUCCACAACGAGAACGAGAGAGUGGUAGGAGUGGAAUAGAUUACCGAGUGGAUGAGAGGGUACGAGACCGAGAUGAGAAAGAACGAGAGAGUGGAUGAGAGAGUAUCUCAGAGCGGUCAAUGGAGUGGUCGAGGGUUAGUGACAGAGGGAGUGAAAGUUUGUCUGAGAAUGUCAGAGAAAGUGAAUGAAAGUGUCAGGGAGGGUGUCAGGGAGGGUGUCAGGGAGGGUGUCAAAGAGAGCGUCGGAGAGAGUGAAUGAGUCAGUCUGAAAGUGAAUGAGAUCGAAUGAAUGAAUGAAUGAAUGAAUGAAUGAAUGAGAGUGAAUGAAAGUGUCAGAGAGAGUAAAAGAGAAUGUCAGAGAGAGAGAGUGAACAAGAGUGUCCGAGAGUGAAUGUGAGUGUCUGAGUGCGAAUGAGAAUGUCAGUGAGAGUGAAUGAGAGCGAAUGAGAGCGAAUGAGUGGCAGAGAGAGUGAAUGAGAGUAAAAGAGACAGUGAAUGACAGAGUGUGUGAGAGAGUCUUAGAGUGAUUGAGAGAGUCUGAGAGUGGGUGAGAGAGUGUCCGAGAGCAGGUAAAAGAGUGUCUGAGCGUAGGUGAGAGAGUGUCCGAGAGCGUCCGUGGCAAAUAUGUGAUGCGUGUGAAGGAAGCAGGUCUCGGUGUGUGUACAGUAGUGAAUGUGCAGCGAGCAGAGACGUGUUAACGAUGCCAAAGCAAACACGACCUUUCCCACGGAGUCGCAAAACUCUCCUGACCUUUCUGUGUGUGCAUGUGUGUUCUUUCUAUUCUCUAGUGCUGACUCACGCUUCAAGGUUCCCACCAACACAUGACAGUGCACUGUGUGUGUGUGUGUGUGUGUGUGUGUGUGUGUGUGUGUGUGUGUGUGUGUGUGUGUGUGUGUGUGUGUGUGUGUGAGAGAGAGAGAGAGAAAGAGAGCAGGUACACGACGUCGAUCCUGAUCUCUCUGCUUUCUGCUCGGCAUCAAUUCGUCGACGUUUUCUUUUCUCUCUUCAAAAUAUUUACAUCCUCACAUGUCAACAGCAUCAUCAUGCCCGUCAGCAUGCAGAGGGCGGGACCUUGUCUGAUGACGUGACAGAACUGCUUCCAGGGUGCAUGUCACGUUAUGAAGAUUCCGAGACGUGACAUUAAAGCCAUGCCUAAUCAGUCAUCUCACACUAUGGAAUAUUGUACAAGGGAUGUCCUGGGAAGACAUUGUGAUAGUGCGUUCCUCAACACCCAAGUCAUUUCCUACUUAACCCAUCAUGGCCCAAACACAUGGUCGGUUAUCGCGUAUCAGCGGAGGAGAUGGCCGAGGCAUUGGCUUGACAGUCGGUUAAAGAAGACCAGAAACAAGAGGAAGCAAACCGCACCAUGUGUUUCUUAUCAUGGGCUCUCGAAGCACAACGCAGGCAUGAAUGGAGGUUGAUUAAGAGCUGUCGCAUAAUGACCUUCUCACAUGUCGACAGCGUGUCCUCACCUGAGCCGUUCCCACUUCAUUUCCUGUUUUAAAAUAGUCCAGGUAGAAGAAGCUGGCUGAUGCUUUCAAGCUGUUUCUUUUGAAUCGGUAGCUGUGGAGCCAUGUGACUCGCUGAAAACCUUUUUGUGUGUGUGUGUGUGUGUGUGUGUGUGCGUGCGUGUGUGUUGUUGUUGUAGGUGUCUAUGAAAGUUGAGGGUGGAACUUGCCAAGGUGAAAAUAAAUUCAUUUUCCAGACUAUA